GGGGCUGACUUGGCUUUCGACAGGGUUGUGCUGAUUUUGACUGCAUGCAAGCUGGCAUCUUUAACUGCCAUUUUUUAAACGCAAACAAUUUAAAUUACGCUCCUGCUCGCGCUGCUGCGUGAGUUAACCUCCUUUAGGAGCUGGUCACUUUAAGCUCGCCCUAGGCUUUAAGCAACCAUCAUUUUUAAGGGCUUUGAGCCAUGUGUGUCAAGCAUGGUUUGAGAUAUGACUGCUCAUUUAAGUGCGCCGUUGAGCGCUUAUGUGAUAAGAUAAUCAACGUUUAAGCAUGUCGAGGUCACUAAGGGUAGACUUUGGACUGGGGUUCGAUCCCCCACAGCUCCACCA
rnacentral:tmRNA from 2 species